rnacentral:rRNA from 1 species
GAUGAACGCUGGCGGCGUGCCUAACACAUGCAAGUCGAGCGAACCCUUCGGGGUGAGCGGCGGACGGGUGAGUAACGCGUGGGUAACCUGCCCUAUACACACGGAUAACGUACCGAAAGGUACGCUAAUACGGGAUAAAGUUGUUGGAUGGCAUCUUCUAACAAUCAAAGCUCCGGCGGUAUAGGAUGGACCCGCGUCUGAUUAGCUAGUUGGUGAGGUAAUGGCUCACCAAGGCGACGAUCAGUAGCCGACCUGAGAGGGUGAUCGGCCACACUGGAACUGAGACACGGUCCAGACUCCUACGGGAGGCAGCAGUGGGGAAUAUUGCACAAUCGGCGAAAGCCUGAUGCAGCAACGCCGCGUAAGCGAUGAAGGUCUUCGGAUCGUAAAGCUCUGUCCUCAAGGAAGAUAAUGACGGUACUUGAGGAGGAAGCCCCGGCUAACUACGUGCCAGCCGCCGCAGUAA